AUUGAACGCUGGCGGCAUGCCUUACACAUGCAAGUCGAACGGCAGCACGGACUUCGGUCUGGUGGCGAGUGGCGAACGGGUGAGUAAUGUAUCGGAACGUACCUUUCAGUGGGGGAUAACGUAGCGAAAGUUACGCUAAUACCGCAUAUUCUGUGAGCAGGAAAGCAGGGGAUCGAAAGACCUUGCGCUGAUUGAGCGGCCGAUAUCAGAUUAGCUAGUUGGUGGGGUAAAGGCCUACCAAGGCGACGAUCUGUAGCGGGUCUGAGAGGAUGAUCCGCCACACUGGAACUGAGACACGGUCCAGACUCCUACGGGAGGCAGCAGUGGGGAAUUUUGGACAAUGGGGGCAACCCUGAUCCAGCCAUGCCGCGUGAGCGAAGAAGGCCUUCGGGUUGUAAAGCUCUUUCGGCCGGGAAGAAAUCGCAUAGGCUAAUACCCUGUGUGGAUGACGGUACCGGAAUAAGAAGCACCGGCUAACUACGUG
rnacentral:rRNA from 1 species